UAGUGGCGAACGGGUGAGUAACACGUGAGUAACCUUCCCUUGACUCUGGGAUAAGCCUGGGAAACUGGGUCUAAUACUGGAUAUGACUUGUCAUCGCAUGGUGGUGGGUGGAAAGAUUUUUUGGUUUUGGAUGGACUCGCGGCCUAUCAGCUUGUUGGUGGGGUAAUGGCCUACCAAGGCGACGACGGGUAGCCGGCCUGAGAGGGUGGACGGCCACACUGGGACUGAGACACGGCCCAGACUCCUACGGGAGGCAGCAGUGGGGAAUAUUGCACAAUGGGCGCAAGCCUGAUGCAGCGACGCCGCGUGGGGGAUGACGGCCUUCGGGUUGUAAACCCCUUUCAGUAGGGAAGAAGCCUCUUCGGGGGUGACGGUACUUGCAGAAGAAGCGCCGGCUAACUACGUGCCAGCAGCCGCGGUAAUACGUAGGGCGCGAGCGUUGUCCGGAAUUAUUGGGCGUAAAGAGCUCGUAGGCGGUGUGCCGCGUCUGCUGUGAAAGCCCGGGGCUCAACUCCGGGUCUGCAGUGGGUACGGGCAUACUAGAGUGCAGUAGGGGAGACUGGAAUUCCUGGUGUAGCGGUGAAAUGCGCAGAUAUCAGGAGGAACACCGAUGGCGAAGGCAGGUCUCUGGGCUGUAACUGACGCUGAGGAGCGAAAGCAUGGGGAGCGAACAGGAUUAGAUACCCUGGUAGUCCAUGCCGUAAACGUUGGGCACUAGGUGUGGGGGACAUUCCACGUUUUCCGCGCCGUAGCUAACGCAUUAAGUGCCCCGCCUGGGGAGUACGGCCGCAAGGCUAA
rnacentral:rRNA from 1 species